GUGCCAGCAGCCGCGGUAAUACGGAGGGUGCAAGCGUUAUCCGGAAUCACUGGGCGCAAAGGGCGCGUAGGUGGUCUAUCAAGUCCGAUGUCAAAGCCCGGGGCUCAACCCCGGUACGGCCUUGGAUACUGAUAGGCUUGACGACUGGAGAGGUGAGUGGAAUUACCAGUGUAGCGGUGGAAUGCGUAGAUACUGGUAGGAACACCUAUUGCGAAGGCAGCUCACUGGACAGUCCGUGACACUGAGGCGCGAAAGUGUGGGGAGCAAACAGGAAUAGAUACCCGGGUACC
rnacentral:rRNA from 1 species